rnacentral:rRNA from 1 species
AGGAUUAGAUACCCGGGUAGUCCCAGCUGUAAACGAUGCAGACUCGGUGAUGCAUUGGCUUGUGGCCAAUGCAGUGCCGCAGGGAAGCCGUUAAGUCUGCCGCCUGGGAAGUACGUACGCAAGUAUGAAACUUAAAGGAAUUGGCGGGGGAGCACCACAAGGGGUGAAGCCUGCGGUUCAAUUGGAGUCAAUGCCAGAAAUCUUACCUGGGGCGACAGCAGAAUGAAGGUCAAGCUGAAGACUUUACCAGACAAGCUGAGAGGUGGUGCAUGGCCGUCGCCAGCUCGUGCCGUGAGAUGUCCUGUUAAGUCAGGUAACGAGCGAGACCCCUGCGUCUAGUUGCUACCAUUACUCUCUGGAGUAGUGGAGCGAAUUAGACGGACCGCCGCAGUUAAUGCGGAGGAAGGAAGGGGCCACGGCAGGUCAGUAUGCCCCGAAACCCUAGGGCUACACGCGGGCUGCAAUGGUAUUGACAAUGUGUUCCGAAUCCGAAAGGAGGAGGCAAUCAUCAAACGAUACCUCAGUUAUGACUGAGGGCUGUAACUCGCCCUCACGAAUAUGGAAUCCCUAGUAACUGCGCGUCACUACCGCGCGGUGAAUACGUCCCUGCUCCUUGCACAUACCGCCCGUCGUUUCAUCGAAGUUGGCCUUUAGUGAGGUAGUGUCUACUUGGCAUUAUCGAGCUUGAGGUCAGUGACGAGGGAAAAGUCGUAACAAG